rnacentral:rRNA from 1 species
AGAGCGAACGCUGGCGGCAGGCCUAACACAUGCAAGUCGAGCGCCCCGCAAGGGGAGCGGCAGACGGGAGAGUAACACGUGGGAACGUACCCUUCAGUUCGGAACAACCCAGGGAAACUUGGGCUAAUACCGAAUACGUCCGUAAGGAGAAAGAUUUAUCGCUGAAGGAUCGGCCCGCGUCUGAUUAGCUUGUUGGUGAGGUAACGGCUCACCAAGGCGACGAUCAGUAGCUGGUCUGAGAGGAUGAUCAGCCUCACUGGGACUGAAACACGGCCCAGACUCCUACGGGAGGCAGCAGUGGGGAAUAUUGGACAAUGGGCGCAAGCCUGAUCCAGCCAUGCCGCGUGGGUGAUGAAGGCCCUAGGGUUGUAAAGCCCUUUCGGCGGGGAAGAUAAUGACGGUACCGCAGAAGAAGCCCGGCUAACUUCGCGCCAGCAGCCGC